AAUACAGGUUAGAACAGGAUUAUACAGGGUUAGAACAGGAUUAUACAGGGUUAGAACAGGAUUAUACAGGUUGGAACAGGAUUAGAACAGGGUUAUACAGGGUUAGAACAGGAUUAUACAGGUUGGAACAGGAUUAGAACAGGGUUAUACAGGGUUAGAACAGGAUUAUACAGGUUGGAACAGGAUUAGAACAGGGUUAUACAGGUUAGAACAGGAUUAUACAGGUUAGAACAGGAUAAUACAGGUUGGAACGGGAUUAGAACAGGGUUAUACAGGGUUAGAACAGGAUUAUACAGGUUAGAACGGGAUUAGAACAGGGUUAUACAGGGUUAGAACAGGAUUAUACAGGUUAGAACAGGAUUAUACAGGGUCAGAACA